GGGGUAGACAAGGCAAUCGCUCAUACAUUGUAUGAGAGGAAAGUCCGGACUCCUAACGAAACGGUACCUUGGGAGGCUAUUCAACCAAGGAGGGCGUAAGCCCAUGGACAGUGCCACAGAAAAUAACCGCCUUAUUUAUAUAAGGUAAGGGUGAAAACGGGUGGUAAGAGCACCCGACAGGAUGUAGCAAUACAUUUUGGGGGCAAACCCUACCGGGAGCAAGACAAAGUAGGUACGUGUCGGUCUUCGUUCUGGUUAAACGUACGGGUAUGUCGCAUAGAUACAUGGUUGCCACAUUCACAUAGUGAAUGACAGAAUCCGGCUUAUUGUCUGCCCCUCAU
rnacentral:RNase_P_RNA from 2 species